UUGUGGAGGAGGACGCCGAAGGUGGGGCUAAUGACUGGGGUGAAGUCGUAACAAGGUAGCCGUACCGGAAGGUGCGGCUGGAUCACCUCCUAACAGGGAGACAACAAAAUGUUUAAUAUUAUUAUUUUGUCACCUUAGGUCGAUCGGUAUCUCACGUUCUUAAUUUGUUAAGAAUUUCAUUUCCUAAGUUUUUCUAGGUCACACCCAUUAUUUUUCCUGGGCCAUUAGCUCAGGUGGUUAGAGCGCACCCCUGAUAAGGGUGAGGUCCCUGGUUCAAGUCCAGGAUGGCCCAUAUCUCUAUGUUGGGGGUAUAGCUCAGUUGGUAGAGCGCCUGCUUUGCAAGCAGGAUGUCAGCGGUUCGAGUCCGCUUACCUCCACUGAUUACCACCUCUUCCAUAACCGGUAGAAAGGAAAUGUUUUGAGUUGUGAUCAUUAUUCUGAACGAAUCUAGCUUCCUAAUGAAAACAUUAAGAUGCUGGACUCAUUGAAUUAAUUUCAUUGUUUUCAGAGAACCUUGACAACUGCAUAGAUUUUUUUAAAGACAAUAAGCAUCUUUAAUGAUGCAGAUUUAUUAUUUGUGCGAAUGCAUUAAUAACAAUUCUAUUAAGCUGAUGCUUCAAUUUUGAAGUUAUUGGUCAAGCUACAA
rnacentral:misc_RNA from 1 species